rnacentral:rRNA from 1 species
GACGAACGCUGGCGGCGUGCCUAAUACAUGCAAGUCGAGCGGACAGAAGGGAGCUUGCUCCCGGAAGUUAGCGGCGGACGGGUGAGUAACACGUGGGCAACCUACCCUGUAGAUCGGGAUAACAUCGAGAAAUCGGUGCUAAUACCGGAUAAUCAUUUGAAGUGCAUGCUUCGAAUGUAAAAGAUGGCUCCGGCUAUCACUACGGGAUGGGCCCGCGGCGCAUUAGCUAGUUGGUAAGGUAAUGGCUUACCAAGGCAACGAUGCGUAGCCGACCUGAGAGGGUGAUCGGCCAGAAUGGGACUGAGUCACGGCCCAGACUCCUACGGGAGGCAGCAGUAGGGAAUCUUCCGCAAUGGACGAAAGUCUGACGGAGCAACGCCGCGUGAGUGAUGAAGGUUUUCGGAUCGUAAAGCUCUGUUGCUAGGGAAGAACAAGUGCCGUUUGAAUAAGGCGGCACCUUGACGGUACCUAACCAGAAAGCCACGGCUAACUACGUGCCAGCCGCCGCCGUAAUAC